rnacentral:rRNA from 1 species
CCUACGGGUGGCAGCAGUGAGGAAUAUUGGUCAAUGGACGAGAGUCUGAACCAGCCAAGUAGCGUGAAGGAUGACUGCCCUAUGGGUUGUAAACUUCUUUUAUAUGGGAAUAAAAUGUUCCACGUGUGCGUUUUUGUAUGUACCUUAUGAAUAAGGAUCGGCUAACUCCGUGCCAGCAGCCGCGGUAAUACGGAGGAUCCGAGCGUUAUCCGGAUUUAUUGGGUUUAAGGGGAGCGUAGGUGGGUUGUUAAGUCAGUUGUGAAAGUUUGCGGCUCAACCGUAAAAUUGCAAUUGAAACUGGCAGUCUUGAGUACAGUAGAGGUGGGCGGAAUCCGUGGUGUAGCGGUGAAAUGCUUAGAUAUCACGAAGAACCCCGAUUGCGAAGGCAGCUUACUAAACUGCAACUGACACUGAGGCUCGAAAGUGUGGGUAUCAAACAGGAUUAGAUACCCCAGUAGUC